UGAGAAACUUUUCUUCACAAAAGUUGUAGAGGACAUUAAACCGAGUCUGCGCAUAUGUGGUACGCUUAAAUCGGAGUUCGUAUGCAAAAUUUAUGGUUCAAAUACCAAAAUUUACUGUUUAUAAUAACUUGCUAUAUAUAGAGAAAGUAUUGUGGUAAGUUUCCAUAUUUUUCUAGAAACUUACCGAGCUCUCCUUUCUCCUCUCCACUCCCCAUCGCGUUUUUUUUUCUGGGGUCUUCUUUGUCCGGCCAUAUCUUCCUCCACAGGCCUCCAAUCGACUUGAUUCCAAAAGCAAUUUUUCUCACCUUGACGUCGUCUAUAACUUCUCAGAAGACAUCGAGGUGAAAAUCGAACUGUGGAGGGCGCUGUAAGGCCGAGAAGCUGCACAGCUCGAGCUGGAAAUCACCUCCCUUCACCGGCUGAUAUCUUCCGAUUCCGGCAACCUGCAGUGAUAAACCUUAGUCCAUUGGAAGCGCCUUGGGACGUAGAUGAUGCUCCCCGAAGCUUUUGCCGAGAUUUGAAGCGUGGAGGAAGAAUCGACGGUUUGAAGUUGGAGGUUACUAUUCACAAUUCGGGUUCAACCUUCCCCUUAAUUGUUGAGGAUGUCGUACCGAGCUCUGGCUCGAUGAAGGAACUCGUAUACGUGAUCAUCGGAAUAGUACUUUUGCAGGCGAAAUUAGAUGAGGUCGGGCGUACAUGGAGUCGAGGCAUAGCCAACAGCAUUGCUUCCGCGUACUCAUUCUAUUCCUGUGUUCUUUGUUACCUAAUGGAAUAGUAUUGCUCUGAUAACUUGUGAAAUUAAUCUUAUAAUGUGGGUUGAGACUGUUAUUUGUGAAAUUGGAGUUGUGUUUUUGGGAGCAGGUGGCUCCAGGAGAAUAAGGAUGAAUGUUUUAGAAGUGUAAAUGUUUUCCUACAGGUUUUGGGUAGCCUACUUUUAGGGGAAGUUCCGCCAAAUUUUUGGUAAAAUUUCUUCUAAAGUGGGCCCCGCAGGGCCACUUCGG